rnacentral:rRNA from 1 species
UACGGGGGGAGCAAGCGUUGUUCGGAUUUACUGGGCGUAAAGCGUGCGCAGGCGGUUUUGUAAGUCUGUCGUGAAAGCCCCGGGCUCAACCUGGGAAUUGCGAUGGAGACUGCAAGGCUUGAAUCUGGCAGAGGGGGGUAGAAUUCCACGUGUAGCAGUGAAAUGCGUAGAGAUGUGGAGGAACACCGAUGGCGAAGGCAGCCCCCUGGGUCAAGAUUGACGCUCAUGCACGAAAGCGUGGGGAGCAAACAGG